rnacentral:rRNA from 1 species
GACGAACGCUGGCGGCGUGCUUAACACAUGCAAGUCGAACGCUGAAGCUCAGCUUUUGUUGGGUGGAUGAGUGGCGAACGGGUGAGUAACACGUGAGUAACCUGCCCCCUUCUUUGGGAUAACGCCCGGAAACGGGUGCUAAUACUGGAUAUUCACUGGUCUUCGCAUGGGGGUUGGUGGAAAGGGUUUUUCUGGUGGGGGAUGGGCUCGCGGCCUAUCAGCUUGUUGGUGGGGUGAUGGCCUACCAAGGCUUUGACGGGUAGCCGGCCUGAGAGGGUGACCGGUCACAUUGGGACUGAGAUACGGCCCAGACUCCUACGGGAGGCAGCAGUGUGGAAUAUUGCACAAUGGGCGCAAGCCUGAUGCAGCGACGCCGCGUGAGGGAUGGAGGCCUUCGGGUUGUGAACCUCUUUCGCUCAUGGUCAAGCCGCAACAAUGGUUGUGGUGAGGGUAGUGGGUAAAGAAGCGCCGGCUAACUACGUG